GAAAAGUUGCACAUUUUCAUUGCACCUAGAAUGAGCAAAUCAGCUGUGCAUCAUCUCUGGGAUUUGGGCAGGAAAUGACUGAAUAUGGAGGAUGAAGCCAGUUGAUGAAGAAAUCAAUUCAAUGGCCACCAACUGCCGCACUGCUGCCUGAACCCAUCAGGUAUCUGCUGUGAAGACUGCAUUCGCAAACAUCUCUACUGCGACAGCUCAGAUAUUACGGCCCAUAAAAGUAAAUUCACAACUGAACAACUGCAAGAUAGUUGUGGAGGGAUU